GUUUGGCGCUUGGUUUACGUUGUACGAACGAUGCCUGGAGGUGCAAUUCCACUGAGGCAAUACUAAGUAACAUGUAGCAUGAUAUUUAAUACUUGCAAGUGUUGUCAUUGUUGUUGUUUCCUCGCGGUGCCAAAGAUAUAUUGAUAUAAUCGACUGUAACCGAGUCUAUGUCAAUUGCGAAAAAGGCCACCGGAAUAGCGUUCGAGCGUUAUACAAUAAUAUCCGAAGGUUUAAACAAGCGACUUUUAUAAUAUAACAGCGUAGUUCUACGUCAACAAUGCGGUCGUAUCUUGGACACAACCUCCUAUAAUUUUUUGUUUUGUUUUUGUUUUGAUGUAAACACAUUGGAUCAGCUGUUGGAAUCGAAUUAUCUGAUUUAGCCGGCGAAUUAUUUGAGUGCUUUUAAUGUGAUUGUAAUUUCUGUAGGAAUGGAGAACGAAAUAACUGCGUUGAUAACGGAACUAGCAGACACUAGAGCUGAAGAUCUUAGCAUAACUCGACUUCAAUCGAUCUUGAUGAAUGCCCCCAGUGAGUGUACCACUAUCGGGUGCGACACUAACGAUCCGCUCUGGAAGCUCUCUGUGCAGUGGCUGCACAUUCAGCACCAAUUCUUUAAAACAUGUAUCGUUCGGAAAAGAGACUCAAAUAAUGAAGGCGACUCAGAGAGUGAUAUGAUUAGUCUCCGGAGGCAGAUGCUGUUUGUAUCGGCUGUGGAUCGGAUCCGACAAUUUACGCUGAAUUUGUACCUUCCGGAGGAGCUGCGCGGGUUAACGAAAUGUGAAUUGAAGAUGAUGAUACAAUUGGAACCCGAGGAACGUACUCGAAGGCUGCGAUUCUGUUUAGAUGCUUACCGUAAAAUGUUCGAGUUUGAUACGGUAACCAUGCAGUCAAAAUUAGAGAAUUGCGUGAUGGAAUAUAUGGCAGGAGUAUUCAGUUACUAUGACUCCGUAAAUGAUUCUCGGUACAUGGAAGACAAUGACUUGUUUCAAAGCUUCAGUUUGCUCCCUUUGGGCGUUGUUUUCAAAAGUUUGCUAGUCAUCAAGGGCGUUCAGAAUUUGGCCACGGAAACGGCAAAGCGAAUACAUUUUCAUCUGCUGAGACUCACAGGAGAGGCUGGUGGAUUUGCCGUAUUAUGCAAAACUUUGUUAGCUGAUGUCUCCUCUGAUGAGACACCAAUGUGGAAGAAGAGCGAAGUGAUAGCUAGGAUUGUUGGAAGUAAAGGUCACACUAAAACAUUCUAUCGUCAGAUUCUGCAGGAUAUCUUCAGUUUUUACGAAUCCUCUCUGUUUAAUGACGAGAAUGAAAAUCUACAAUUUGCAAGUACCUGUAUCGAGUGUUUAAGGCAGAUUUUUCUGCUUCCUCCAGCAUAUGAGGAGCUCCGAAACACUAUCCGAGAGUACUUCGUUGGGAGAUUUGAUCAGUUGACAGAGCUGAGAGACUCUCUGAGCGGAACAAUCGUUCUGGAAAGAUCUCAACUGGUUUCUGGACUGUAUAUAAACUAUAUGGCCUUCAGCGGGUCUUCAUGCACAUCGUUGAACUCCACUAUUCUCAUGCCAUAUUUACAAAUCUUCCUAAAACUGUACUCAAUGCUGCCAGUCGAUGCUGAGGAGAGAAAAUAUCUCCAAACAUUGAUCGUAUUCUGUCUCUCUAAUCGUGCCAAACCUGAGCUGAGCCCAGUUCUUGAAGCGCUGCUGCUCGGGAUGGAUGAAGCAACUCUGCUAAAGAAAUUUCAUCCCAGAAUUUAUCUGAAAAAGAUUGAGAGCAGUGAGACCUACUCACUACAAGUUGGACCAUGUCAAGACGACUUAGCCGAAGAAGAUGAUUUAGGACCAUAUCUGGUGGAGGUUUUGAAGGUUUCCAACAGAAAUUUGCUCAUCUACGAUGUGUUUGUGAUUCUGCUCAAACUAUUCGAGCGAAUAAGUGAGGAUGCGGACAAAAAUCUGCUGCUCGAUAAAGAGGAACAAGAUGCAUCCAACUGCAAACGCUUCUUCCGAAAGUACGUGAUAAUCCAAGCGCUAAUGGAACUAGUCGGACACAGACACUUCCACAGUCAGCUCUACGAAAAUCCUGCGGAAGUUAUUGCAUUCUUAAAAUCGCUUCUGAUUAAAACUAUCGACAAAGGGUCGUCAAACGGGGAUUUUCUGGAAAUAGUGCUGUCCAUAUUCCACGAAUAUCUACAGCGAUUGCACGGCAGAGAAGAUGUCCAGCAAAUACUCAAGCUGUUGAAACAUUACAAGACUUCGGUCCAGUGUAGAGAUUCUUUGAAGGAUCAAAUUGAUCACAUCUGUAAGGAAAAAGAUGCUGAACACGCCGAUGGAGAUCUGACACCUUACCAAAACGCGCACAGUUUAUGCUCCGACAGGGAGCCGUACUGUAAAGUAUACGGAACGACGCUGAUGAUCCGUUUGUUGAAGGAGCGGGAGAGUGAAACGCUCUCCAACAAACAUGCGAUUCUCAUCCUUGCGCUGAACAAUCUUAAAGGUGUGGAAAGCUACGCUUUCCUGAACUCGGUCCGCCUGUUGGUGGCUCUGUGUGACGUCUUGGAAGCGGAUACCAUCGAGGCGUUAAUAAAAGAGUAUCAAUGCAGUGACAAUGAGGUCGAUUUUAGACUGAAAGUUGGGGAAGCGAUUGUUAAAACGACUGAAGCUCUUGGCCCGAUUUCGCUUAAAUACUGCGAACAGUUUAUCAACUGUUUUCUCCACGGAUAUAAGAGCUCGGUGGAUGAGCUCCGGUCUUCCAGUUUGUCCAAUCUAGGUAAUAUGUGCAAGAUUCUGUCAUACCAGGUGCACAACUUUUUCUAUGAGAUGUUCCUCGUGCUAAAAUCCGCCAUCGAAACCGACCGCUACCUACCCGUCCGACGAGCCGCCAUCCUUGUCCUGUCCCAGCUAAUCGAAGGCAUGGAUAAUCUGCUCGACUUCCAGGACUACCUGCUGGCGAUAUAUCGUUUUCUAAAACUGAUUGCCGAUACCGACGAGGACGACGUAACACGCCUCCAAGCCACCGUCGCGCUAGAUCAUCUCACGGCUAAAACGACAGAGUUCCUCAAGACGGCACUCGCCGUGGGAAAACUCGAGAAGGAUAUUCGGAUAUUUGGCAUCAGGGAGCAGCAAGCAGAGGAACGACGGCGAAUUCAGCGGAACAAUGAUAGUGUGAUCGCGAAAAUAUUGGACUAAAACUUUUUGUUUUAUUAAAGUUACUUUUCUCGCAGCAUACACAUACCUAAUCAACUAUAGAUAGAGAGACGCUACUCGAUUGAUCAUAUUCGAAAUGUCCACGGCAAGCCCUGCUUUCUUCAAGAGAUGUUGGAAUCACAAUAGAAUGACGAAAUUUCAGAUUUGUUCGUGACCGACAUCGCAAGGAGCAAGUAUCCAUUAGAAUUCGGGACAUCAAAGCUGAGUUUGACAGCGAGUUUAUAUGAUGCAAAUAUAAACAAAACAGAAAAAAAAGUGGUGGAUUUGAACAAGCAGUUUUACACGAAUAAUAAAUUUAAUUUUUAUAAUGGUGAGCAUUAAAUGGAAGAAGAAUGUUUU